rnacentral:snoRNA from 1 species
AAGACUAUCUUUUCAGGGAUCAUUUCUAUAGUUUGUUACCGGAGAAGUUCCUCAGAAACUGUGAGGAAGAUGCAGCAUUCCCUCCCGAGUGGGAAGCCAGCUCUGUGAUGGCCAUUUGUCAUCCAUAAUUGUCCUUCUCUUCCUUUGGGAGAGCGAGAGGGAGAGGGUGGCAUGGAGUGGU